rnacentral:rRNA from 1 species
AGCGAACGCUGGCGGCAGGCCUAACACAUGCAAGUCGAACGAACUCUUCGGAGUUAGUGGCGGACGGGUGAUUAACACGUGGGAACGUGCCUUUUGGUUCGGAAUAACUCAGGGAAACUUGUGCUAAUACCGAAUGUGCCCUUCGGGGGAAAGAUUUAUCGCCAUUAGAGCGGCCCGCGUCUGAUUAGCUAGUUGGUGAGGUAACGGCUCACCAAGGCGACGAUCAGUAGCUGGUCUGAGAGGAUGACCAGCCACACUGGGACUGAGACCCGGCCCAGACUCCUACGGGAGGCAGCAGUGGGGAAUCUUGCGCAAUGGGCGAAAGCCUGACGCAGCCAUGCCGCGUGAAUGAUGAAGGUCUUAGGAUUGUACAAUUCUUUCACCGGGGACGAUAAUGACGGUAACCGGAGAAGAAGCCCCGGCUAACUUCGUG